UACGUAGGGUGCAAGCGUUAAUCGGAAUUACUGGGCGUAAAGCGUGCGCAGGCGGUUUGGCAAGUCAGAUGUGAAAUCCCCGGGCUCAACCUGGGAAUUGCAUUUGUGACUGCACGGCUAGAGUGUGUCAGAGGGGGGUAGAAUUCCACGUGUAGCAGUGAAAUGCGUAGAGAUGUGGAGGAAUACCGAUGGCGAAGGCAGCCCCCUGGGAUAACACUGACGCUCAUGCACGAAAGCGUGGGGAGCAAACAGG
rnacentral:rRNA from 1 species